AGAGGGUUUGAUCCUGGCUCAGAUUGAACGCUGGCGGGAUGCUUACAUGCAAGUCGAACGGCAGCACGGACUUCGGUCUGGUGGCGAGUGGCGAAACGGGUGAGUAAUGUAUCGGAACGUGCCUAGUAGCGGGGGAUAACUACGUGAAAGCGAAGCACACGCAUACGCCCUUCGGGGGAAAGCGGGGACCUUCGGGCCUCGCACUAAUAGAGCGCGGCCGAUAUCGGAUUAGCUAGUUGGUGGGGUAACGGCUCACCAAGGCGACGACCCGUAGCUGGUUUGAGAGGACGAAUUCAGCCAAACACUGGCUGGGACCGGAGACACGGCCCAGACUCCUACGGGAGGCAGCAGUGGGGAAUUUUGGACAAUGGGGGAAACCCCUGAUCCAGCCAUCCCGCGUGUGCGAUGAAGGCCUUCGGGUUGUAAAGCACUUUUGGCAGGAAAGAAACGGCACGGAUAAUACCCAAACUACACGGCACCUGCAGAAUAAGCACCGGCUAACCACGUGCCAGCAGCCGCGGUAAUACGUAGUGCAAGCGUUAAUCGGAAUUACUGGGCAAGCGCGCAGGCGGUUCGGAAAGAAAGAUAAACCCAGAGCUUAACUUUGGAACUGCAUUUUUAAACCACUGAGUUGGAGGCCGAGGGAGGGUGGAAUCCAGUGUAGCAGUGAAAUGUACAGAUGUGCGGAGGAACACCGGAUGGCGAAGGCAGCCUCCUGGGAUAACACUGACGCUCUCAUGCACGAAAGCGUGGGGAGCAAACAGGAUAGGGAUUAGAGCACCCGGUAGUCCACGCCCUAAACGAUGUCAACUAGCUGCUGGGGCCUGGGCCCUUGGUAGCGCAGCUAACGCGUGAAGUUGACCGCCUGGGGAGUAAUGGUCGCAAGAUUAAACUCAAAGGAAUUGACGGGGACCCGCACAAGCGGUGGAUGAUGGAUUAAUUGAUGCAACGCGAAAACCUUUACCUACUCCUUGACAUGUCUGAAUCCCGAAGAGAUUUGGGAGUGCUCGCAAGAGAACCGGAACAGGCAGGGUGCUGCAUGGCUGUCGUCAGCUCGUGUCGUGAGAUGUUGGGUUAAGUCCCGCAACGAGCGCAACCCUGCCAGCGAUGCUACGAAAGCGCACCUUAAUGAGACUGCCGGUGACAACCGAGGAAGUGCGGGAUGACGCCUGAGUCCCGCGGCCUUUAUGGGUAGGGCUUCACACGCUGCGCGGUAAUACGGGACAGAGGUCGCCAACCCGCGAGGGAGCCAAUCCCAGAACCGAUCGUAGUCCGGAUCGCAGUCUGCAACUCGACUGCGUGAAGUCGGAAUCGCUAGAGAAUCGCGGAUCAGCAUGUCGCGGUGAAUACGUUCCCGGGUCUUGUACACACCCUGCCCGUCACACCAUGGAGUGGGUUUACCAGAAGUAGUUAGCCUAACCGUAAGGAGGGCGAUUACCACGGUAGGAUUCAUGACUGGGGUGAAGUCGUAACAAGGUAG
rnacentral:rRNA from 1 species